AUGUCCAUCUCCGGGAACGGCCACCUCCCCGCCGCCGCCGCCUCCACCGGCCUGCCGGACCACUCCUCCGCCUCCGCGUCAGACUCCGAGGCCGAGGGAGACGCCGACUACCUCCCCAUCUCCGGCGCCGCCUCGGACACCGACAGCGACCCCGACCCCGAUCUCGCAUCUCACCGCCGCCUCGACGCGGUCGACAACGGCGUCUCCGAGCUGGAUAUCGCCUCCGACGACGAAGAAAGCGACGAAGAAGAAGGCACGGGCGCGACGGAGGCCGCGGCCUCCUUGGACGACGAGCGUAGGCGGCGCGCCCAGCUGCCCGCGGGCGCCGCGGCCCGGAUCGUGGACGCGAUGCGCGGCGUGGCGUUCCCCGGCGCGCCGCCGCCCUGGGCGGGCGCCGUCCCCGACGAGCAGUGGCUCGAGCGCCUCCGCUCCCUCCGCGGCGGCCGCGACUAG
rnacentral:rRNA from 1 species